rnacentral:rRNA from 1 species
GUGAGGAAUAUUGCGCAAUGGGGGCAACCCUGACGCAGCGAUGCCGCGUGGGUGACGAAGGUCUUCGGAUCGUAAAGCCCUGUCAGGUGGGAAGAAUAGCUUGGGGGACAAUACCCUCCAGGUGUGACGGUACCACCGAAGGAAGCACCGGCUAACUCCGUGCCAGCAGCCGCGGUAAGACGGAGGGUGCAAGCGUUAUUCGGAAUCAUUGGGCGUAAAGGGCGUGCAGGCGGCCGAUCAAGUCAGGGGUGAAAGCCCGGGGCUCAACCCCGGAAGUGCCUCUGAUACUGGCUGGCUUGAGUUCGGGAGAGGGAAGCGGAAUUCCGGGUGUAGAGGUGAAAUUCGUAGAUAUCCGGAGGAACACCGGUGGCGAAGGCGGCUUCCUGGACCGAAACUGACGCUGAGACGCGAAAGCGUGGGGAGCAAACAGGAUUAGAUACCCGAGUAGUCC